rnacentral:misc_RNA from 1 species
UUCCAUUAAUGAAUCAAUAACAGACUUUCUCUCUCUGAUUCUACUCUUUUCUUUUCUCAUCUAAAUCUAAAUUCUCUUCUCAUCUACUUCUAUUCUCUUGAUCUGUUUUCAAUCUUGCAUUCAGAGGAUAAAUUAGGGUUGAACCCUAACAAUUUGGUAUCAGAGCAAGGUUACGACGGGAUUAGAUCUGCAAUUGUGAUUCUGGCAGUCGCAUGAUGACCAGAUCUGGAGUAGUUACUCAGGAUUCAACUAAUUCAGCUAAAAUAGCUGAAUUGGAGGAACAGAUUAGGGUUAUGCAGGAGGUGUCGAAGAAGGAUAAGGAAGAAUUGAGGGGAGAAAUUAAGCAAAGUGCAGACAAGAUCUUGGAGGAGAUGCGAUCCUUGUUUGCAGUUGUUAUGAUGGAUAAAAGUAAGGGAAAUAAUUCUGGAGAAAAUGAAGUAGCUGGAUCUGUAACUGCUGCUCUCGGAGGGAAGGGAAUUCUGCCCAAACCAAACGAGAAUGGGAAUCAGCAACAGAAAGAAGAUAAUAAUGCUGGAUCUACAGCAGACAAUGAAGGUAUGUCAAAGAUCUUGCCUAAAGUCAAAUUAGUGACAUUUGAUGGGAAGGAACCUAGGGCUUGGGUUAGGAAAUGUAUCAAAUACUUUGAGGUGUAUAGAGUACCUAAAGAUCAAAUGGUAGGAAUUGCUAGCCUGUUUUUAAUAGAUAGGGCUGAUGCCUGGUAUCACAAUUGGAUAAAGGGGGAUGGAUCUCAUGCUUGGGAUGAUUUUGAAAGGGAAUUGUGUGGAAGAUUUAGAGAGGAAGGGCUAGAGGAUAUUGUGGAAGAAUUUAUGAAGCUUAGGCAAGAAAAUUCCUUAGAAGAAUAUCAAGAUAUCUUUGAGGAUUUGAGGAUAAGGAUGGAAAGGGUUAUGCCAGAUUUGGGAGAGGCUUAUUUUCUUUCUGCCUUUAUUGGAGGGCUUAAGGAUGAAAUUAGAUUAAUGGUGAGAAUGAUGAAGCCAGCCACUUCAGCUGAUGUAGUAGAGAUUGCUAGGCUGCAAGAACAGUUAUGGGAUACAAAAAAGAAUAGAACCUUCAAUAAAACCUUCAAUUACAACCCAAGAUCUGUAACUUCCAAUUUCACUCCAUAUAAUUCCUACUCCAAACCUAAUCAAUUGUUUCCUUACCCCCCUAAACCACCAAAUCCAGAUUUGACCAGUAAAGCUCUAAAUUCUGCACCUACUAAACUUCUAUUGUAAGUACUUCUUUUGUUAACCAAAAUUCCAAUACUAAUCUUAUCAAAUUUACUGUCCAGAACAACUCAAACUCCAUAUUCCAAUCCAAACCCUGUUAUAAAUGUGGAGACAAAUACUUUCCAGGCCAUCAAUGUAAAACUAAGACAUUAGCAGCUUUGCAAGUUGGAGAGCAAGAAGAUGGGAAUGGAGAGGAGGUUUGGCAUGAGGUGGCAGAGGAAAUGGAAGAUGUGGGUGAUCAAGGAGAACUUACGCUUUCUGUUCAUGCAGUAGAAGGGAGUGAAGGGGCAGAAACUAUUAGAAUUUUAGGGAUCCAUAAAAAUAGAGAAAUGGUGAUUUUAAUUGAUAGUGGCAGCAAUAGUAGUUUUAUUGACAAGAAAGUGGCUGAGGAACUUAAGUUGGAGUUGGUGGAUAUACCUGCUACAACAAUAGCAGUAGCUGAUGGGAGAAAAUUGAAGUGCAGUCAUCAGUGUCAGCAGUUUAUGUGGAAAAUUCAGUCCUAUAAGUUUCAAUUUGACUUUAGAAUAUUAGCAUUGGGGAGUUUUGAUAUGAUUUUGGGAGUGGAUUGGCUUAGGAGCUUUAAUCCAGUGCUUUUUGAUUUUAGAGCCUGUAGGAUUUACUUUAUGAAAGAAGGAAAGGAAGUGAUUUUACAAGGACUAAAAUUACAAAGGGGGAAAGGGAAGGCUGCUUUGUUAUGUCAUUCUAAUGACUUAUUUGGAAGAAAUGGAGUGGAUUUUCAAUCUCCCUUACUUUGUAUAGUGGAGUCUCAAGUUGGAUCAUCUUCAGCACCUAAAAAGGAGACAUUUGGUGAAGCUGCAGUAGCAGAUUUGGGACUGCAGUCUAUGUUAAAGAAAUAUCAGGAGGUUUUUAAAGAACCUCAACCGCGGCCACCAUUCAGAAGUCACAACCAUGCUAUCCCUUUGCAACCUAAUACACAACCAAUUAAUAUUAGGCCAUAUAGGUAUCCCUAUUAUCAAAAGGCUGAAAUUGAGAAGCUGGUUUCAGAGAUGUUAGCUUCCUCAAUAAUCCAACCAAGUACAAGCCCUUUUUCAUCGCCAGUACUUUUAGUUAAAAAAAAAAGAUGGCACAUGGAGGUUUUGUAUAGACUACAGAAGGUUGAAUGAGAAGACUGUUAAGGACAAAUUUCCUAUCCCCAUUAUAGAUGACUUGUUGGAUGAAUUGUGUGGUGCCACCAUUUUUUCCAAAAUUGAUUUGAAAGCUGGGUAUCACCAAAUUAGGAUGGCUGAGCCAGACACCCCUAAAAUUGCAUUUCGAACACACCAGGGCCACUAUGAAUUUAAGGUUAUGCCUUUUGGGUUGACCAAUGCCCCUGCCACCUUUCAAGCCCUCAUGAACCAAAUUUUCCAACCAUUUUUAAGGAAGUUUGUUCUGGUUUUUUUUGAUGACAUACUCAUUUACAGCCCUGAUUUAGAAUCCCAUUUACAGCAUUUAGAAUCUGUUUUUAAGGUGUUGGAAGAGCAGCAGCUUUUUGCUAAAAUGUCUAAGUGCUCUUUUGGUCAGAAUUCUGUUGAUUAUUUAGGGCAUAUUAUUUCAGAAAAAGGAGUAUCUACAGAUCCAGACAAAAUUGAGGCUAUGGUAGCUUGGCCUUAUCCAACUUCUGUCAAGGAAUUGAGGAGUUUCUUGGGAUUGACAGGGUAUUACAGGAAGUUUGUUAGAAAUUAUGGGGUGAUUAGUAAGCCUCUUACAGAUUUAUUAAAGAGGGACAACUUCCAAUGGACUGAAGUUACUAGACAAGCAUUUGACUCAUUAAAAGUAGCUAUGUCUUCUGCUCCUGUUCUGGCAUUACCAAAUUUUACUCAGCCAUUUAUCAUUGAAACUGAUGCUAGCAGCUAUGGUAUGGGAGCUGUAUUACAGCAAAAUGGACACCCUAUUGCCUAUAUUUCUAAGGCUUUUGGGGUUAGGAAUCAAAGCCUUUCUGUAUACGACAAAGAGUUGCUGGCAAUCACUUUUGCUAUCACUAAAUGGAGGCAUUACCUUGAGCAAGGUCCCUUCUUCAUCAAAACUGAUCAUGAAAGUAUCAAGCACCUUUUAGAGCAAAGACUUCACACUAACCUACAACAGAAAGGUAUUUCUAAACUCUUGGGUUUAGAUUAUAAAAUUUUGUAUAAAAGAGGGAUAGAGAAUAGAGUGGCUGAUGCUUUAUCUAGAAGGCCACAUUCUGCUGUGACUCAAUUAUCUGUUGCUCAUUCUGAAAUCAUUCCUACUUGGAUGGCUAAUGUCCUUAAUAGCUAUGUUAAUGAUUCUAAGGCUGCGGAUUUAAUUACUCAACUUUCUUUGGAUAGUAAGGCUCAUUUCAAGUUUCAUUUGAAGCAAGGGCUGUUGUAUUACAACAAUAGAUUGUAUGUGGGUUGUCAUGGUAAUUUGAGGAAGCAAUUAAUAGCAUUGUAUCAUGACAGUGCUAUGGGAGGGCACUCCGGCAUUCACAAUUCUUAUAGUAGGCUGCAGAGACAUUUUUAUUGGCCUGGCAUGUAUACUGAAGUCUUGCAAUGGGUGCAACAAUGUGCAGAAUGUGCUAAAUGUAAGGGAAUGACUUCCGCUACCCCUGGGUUAUUACAGCCUUUACCAAUACCUUCUCAAGCAUGGCAGCACAUCACUAUGGAUUUUAUUGAGCAGCUUCCUAAGUCUGGAGGUAAGGAUACUGUCCUAGUGGUGGUUGAUAGGUAUACAAAAUAUGGCCAUUUCAUUGGAUUGGCUCAUCCCUUUACUGCAUCUUCUGUAGCAAGGGUCUUUAUAGAACACAUUUAUAAGCUUCAUGGUGCCCCUGUCACAAUUGUUUCAGAUCGAGAUAAAGUAUUUACAAGUGUGUUUUGGAAAGAAUUUUUCAAGCAGCUGGGCACUACUCUUUCUUAUAGUAGUGCUUACCACCCUCAAAGUGAUGGCCAAACAGAAAGGCUGAAUCAGUGCCUUGAAGGGUAUUUGAGGUGUAUGACUCAUCAUCAACCUAGUGCUUGGUUUAAAUGGUUGCAUUUAGCUGAAUGGUGGUACAAUACCACUCAUCACAGUUCCAUCAAGAUGAGUCCAUUUGAAGCAUUAUAUGGUUAUGCUCGGCCAGGAAUUCCUCCCAUUCUUGCCAACUUAUCACCAACAGCAAUUGUGAGUGAUUUUUUCUAGGAGCAGAAUCAUGUGUUCAGAUUGUUGAAGGAGAAUUUGGCUCAAGCUCAACAUAGAAUUAAGCAGCAGGCUGAUAAAAAGAGGACAGAAAGGGAGUUUGCAGUAGGUGACUGGGUUUAUUUGAAGCUUCAACCAUACAGGCAGUCCUCCAUAGCCAUCAGAAAAUCCCUUAAACUGGUUGCCAAAUAUUAUGGGCCCUUCCAAAUCAUGUCUAGAGUGGGUUCAGUAGCAUAUAGAUUACAACUGCCACAAAGUUCAAGGAUUCAUCCUAUUUUCCAUGUCUCGUUACUUAAGAAGAAGCUGGGAGAUAAUGUUACUCCAAUUCUGGAAUUACCAGAAUUGCAGGCAGACAAUACUGUUGCAGUGGCACAAGAAGCAGUACUGAAGACAAGAACCAUCUUUAGAAGCACUGUUCCUUUGAUUCAAGGCCUCAUUAAGCGGCUUAAUUUGCCUGAUGAUGAAGCUACAUGGGAAGACAAAGCCUUCAUUCAAGCUCAGUUUCCAGAAUUUUAUCCUUCUUGGGGACAAGAAGGCUCUCAUGGGGGAGGUAUUGUCACAUACAGGAGAAGAAAAGGAAAGAAUAAGAUAGCUGAGCCUAAGAAGGGAAGUGGAGGGAAAGUCAGUUAGUAGUGAGAAGUUUGUUACAGAGUCUGUUAUAGAUAGUAG